GGGGAUAUGGCUCAGUUGGUAGAGUGCUUGCCUUGCAUGCACAAGGUCCUGGGUUCAAUCCCCAGCACCACCA
rnacentral:tRNA from 1 species